UACGGGGGGGGUAAGCGUUGUUCGGAAUUACUGGGCGUAAAGGGCUCGUAGGCGGCCAACUAAGUCGGACGUGAAAUCCCUCAGCUUAACUGGGGAACUGCGUCCGAUACUGGAUGGCUUGGAUUUGGGAGAGGGAUGCGGAAUUCCAGGUGUAGCGGUGAAAUGCGUAGAUAUCUGGAGGAACACCGGUGGCGAAGGCAGCUCGCUGGGACGUUACUGACGCUGAGACGCGAAAGCGUGGGGAGCAAACAGG
rnacentral:rRNA from 1 species